rnacentral:rRNA from 1 species
GACGAACGCUGGCGGCGUGCCUAAUACAUGCAAGUCGACCUUAGUGGCGAACGGGUGAGUAACACGUGGGUAACCUGCCCAUCAGAAGGGGAUAACACUUGGAAACAGGUGCUAAUACCGUAUACUGAUGGAUGGACCCGCGGUGCAUUAGCUAGUUGGGGAGGUAACGGCUCACCAGGGCCACGAUGCAUAGCCGACCGGUGAGUGUGAUCGGCCACAUUGGAACUGAGACAUGGCCCAAACUACAACGGAAGGCAGCAGUAGGGAAUAUUCGGCAAUGGACGAAAGUCGGACCGAGCAACGCCGCGUGAGUGAAGAAGGUUUUCGGAUCGUAAAACUCUUUUGUUAGAUAAGCGGUAUCUAACCAGAAAGCCACGGAUAACUACGUGCCAGCAGCCGCGAUAAUAC